UUGCAGGGUAUAGACCCGAAACCCGGUGAUCUAGCCAUGGGCAGGUUGAAGGUUGGGUAACACUAACUGGAGGACCGAACCGACUAAUGUUGAAAAAUUAGCGGAUGACCUGUGGCUGGGGGUGAAAGGCCAAUCAAACCGGGAGAUAGCUGGUUCUCCCCGAAAGCUAUUUAGGUAGCGCCUCGUGAAUUCAUCUCCGGGGGUAGAGCACUGUUUCGGCUAGGGGGCCAUCCCGGCUUACCAACCCGAUGCAAACUGCGAAUACCGGAGAAUGUUAUCACGGGAGACACACGGCGGGUGCUAACGUCCGUCGUGAAGAGGGAAACAACCCAGACCGCCAGCUAAGGUCCCAAAGUCAUGGUUAAGUGGGAAACGAUGUGGGAAGGCCCAGACAGCCAGGAUGUUGGCUUAGAAGCAGCCAUCAUUUAAAGAAAGCGUAAUAGCUCACUGGUCGAGUCGGCCUGCGCGGAAGAUGUAACGGGGCUAAACCAUGCACCGAAGCUGCGGCAGCGACACUGUGUGUUGUUGGGUAGGGGAGCGUUCUGUAAGCCUGUGAAGGUGUGUCGUGAGGCAUGCUGGAGGUAUCAGAAGUGCGAAUGCUGACAUAAGUAACGAUAAAGCGGGUGAAAAGCCCGCUCGCCGGAAGACCAAGGGUUCCUGUCCAACGUUAAUCGGGGCAGGGUGAGUCGACCCCUAAGGCGAGGCCGAAAGGCGUAGUCGAUGGGAAACGGGUUAAUAUUCCCGUACUUGGUGUUACUGCGAAGGGGGGACGGAGAAGGCUAUGUUGGCCGGGCGACGGUUGUCCCGGUUUAAGCGUGUAGGUGUGUGUUCCAGGUAAAUCCGGUUCACUUUAACACUGAGGCGUGACGACGAGGCACUACGGUGCUGAAGCAACAAAUGCCCUGCUUCCAGGAAAAGCCUCUAAGCAUCAGGUAACAUCAAAUCGUACCCCAAACCGACACAGGUGGUCAGGUAGAGAAUACCAAGGCGCUUGAGAGAACUCGGGUGAAGGAACUAGGCAAAAUGGUGCCGUAACUUCGGGAGAAGGCACGCUGACACGUAGGUGAAGUGAUUUACUCAUGGAGCUGAAGUCAGUCGAAGAUACCAGCUGGCUGCAACUGUUUAUUAAAAACACAGCACUGUGCAAACACGAAAGUGGACGUAUACGGUGUGACGCCUGCCCGGUGCCGGAAGGUUAAUUGAUGGGGUCAGCGCAAGCGAAGCUCCUGAUCGAAGCCCCGGUAAACGGCGGCCGUAACUAUAACGGUCCUAAGGUAGCGAAAUUCCUUGUCGGGUAAGUUCCGACCUGCACGAAUGGCGUAAUGAUGGCCAGGCUGUCUCCACCCGAGACUCAGUGAAAUUGAACUCGCUGUGAAGAUGCAGUGUACCCGCGGCAAGACGGAAAGACCCCGUGAACCUUUACUAUAGCUUGACACUGAACAUUGAGCCUUGAUGUGUAGGAUAGGUGGGAGGCUUUGAAGUGUGGACGCCAGUCUGCAUGGAGCCGACCUUGAAAUACCACCCUUUAAUGUUUGAUGUUCUAACGUGGACCCGUUACCCGGGUUGCGGACAGUGUCUGGUGGGUAGUUUGACUGGGGCGGUCUCCUCCUAAAGAGUAACGGAGGAGCACGAAGGUUGGCUAAUCCUGGUCGGACAUCAGGAGGUUAGUGCAAUGGCAUAAGCCAGCUUGACUGCGAGCGUGACGGCGCGAGCAGGUGCGAAAGCAGGUCAUAGUGAUCCGGUGGUUCUGAAUGGAAGGGCCAUCGCUCAACGGAUAAAAGGUACUCCGGGGAUAACAGGCUGAUACCGCCCAAGAGUUCAUAUCGACGGCGGUGUUUGGCACCUCGAUGUCGGCUCAUCACAUCCUGGGGCUGAAGUAGGUCCCAAGGGUAUGGCUGUUCGCCAUUUAAAGUGGUACGCGAGCUGGGUUUAGAACGUCGUGAGACAGUUCGGUCCCUAUCUGCCGUGGGCGCUGGAGAACUGAGGGGGGCUGCUCCUAGUACGAGAGGACCGGAGUGGACGCAUCACUGGUGUUCGGGUUGUCAUGCCAAUGGCACUGCCCGGUAGCUAAAUGCGGAAGAGAUAAGUGCUGAAAGCAUCUAAGCACGAAACUUGCCCCGAGAUGAGUUCUCCCUGAGACUUAAAGUCUCCUGAAGGAACGUUGAAGACGACGACGU
rnacentral:rRNA from 1 species